rnacentral:tRNA from 1 species
GCGCAAUUCGAGUUGAGAGCUGCCCUCCGAAGGCAGGGGUUGCUGGUUCGAUCCCAGCCGGGCGCGCCA